rnacentral:rRNA from 1 species
GUAGGUGGCAAGCGUUGUCCGGAAUUAUUGGGCGUAAAGCGCGCGCAGGCGGUUCUUUAAGUCUGAUGUGAAAGCCCACGGCUCAACCGUGGAGGGUCAUUGGAAACUGGAGAACUUGAGUACAGAGGAGGAAAGCGGAAUUCCACGUGUAGCGGUGAAAUGCGUAGAGAUGUGGAGGAACACCAGUGGCGAAGGCGGCUUUCUGGUCUGUAACUGACGCUGAGGCGCGAAAGCGUGGGGAGCAAACAGGAUUAGAUACCCUGGUAGUCCGCGCCGUAAACGAUGAGUGCUAAGUGUUAGGGGGGUUUCCGCCCCCCUUAGUGCUGCAGCUAACGCAUUAAGCACUCCGCCUGGGAUACGGCCGCAAGGCUG